GCGGGAGUAGCACAGUGGUAGUGCUCCAGCCUUCCAAGCUGGCCAUGCGGGUUCGAUUCCCGUCUCCCGCUC
rnacentral:tRNA from 1 species